rfam:Helianthus annuus linkage group 15, whole genome shotgun sequence.
GGCCAGUGAUGUUAAAAGAUAUUAUAUACUCUUGAUGGGAUUAUAUAUAAUCCUGUUUGAUGUUUUAUUAUCCACCAAGAUCUCUGAGGCC